rnacentral:lncRNA from 12 species
CGGGGCCGGGCCGGGCUGAGGGUUGCGGGGUCCUAGCGCCCCGCGCUGCGAUGGGCGGGGCAGGUGGGCGGGGCUGAGCCGCGCUGGCCCGUGACGCAAGCAGUGGCUGGGGAAAUGCGCGCUGGUUCCCCCUGCGGUCGGGAGAUCCCGAGGCUUGAGGCGGGCGUGGGUGCGAAACACAUUCCCUUCCCCUUUCACCACCCCCGGGGGCAGGGAUGCGUCUUGGGCCAACUGACCCGUUUCCUCCUUCUUCCCCAGCAGCCGCGGGAGUCCUGACAGUGCCUAGCCCGAGCACCGCGCGUCUGUCUGGGCGGCUGCUCCUACACCGAGGGCGCUCAGACCUCCCCAGGAAACCCCCUGACGGCUUAGCAACCACCUAUUUUAGAAGACUGUAUGUUUUAAGCAGAGGUGGCUGGGAAGAUGGCGGAAUAGGAGAACCCUGGGCUCACUUCGUGCGGCAUGGCCACCUAGAGAACACCCACAUCAGCAUAAAUAACCCAGAAGCCACCCAAAGCCUGGCAGAACAGACUCUCCACAGCCGGACAUAGACAAGAGGCCACAGCAAAGUGGAUCUACCCCAUCUGAUAUACUCUUGGCAAGAUCCCAUCAAAGCAGUGCCACAAGCCUGGCAGUGUGCAAGCAGCCCAGACAAGGGCCAACACACCCCAAAGUGAAUCCUACUCCAGGGAGAGGGGGUGAUAAUCACACACCAGUCUGAUUGCCACCCCAGCAGUGGCUGGGGGCAGGCAACUGGUCUGAUUGCAUGCCUCACCCACCAAUAAAAGCUUCUCAGAAGACA